rfam:Myotis davidii contig197343, whole genome shotgun sequence.
GGUGGUUCUUGGAUGACGUACCUCAGAAUCAGGCUCCCUCCUCUCUGGUUACCGUUGCAUCACCUAAGAACUGCA